UACGGGGGGGGCAAGCGUUGUUCGGAAUUACUGGGCGUAAAGGGCUCGUAGGUGGCCAACUAAGUCAGACGUGAAAUCCCUCGGCUUAACCGGGGAACUGCGUCUGAUACUGGAUGGCUUGAGUUCGGGAGAGGGAUGCGGAAUUCCAGGUGUAGCGGUGAAAUGCGUAGAUAUCAGGAGGAACACCAAUGGCGAAGGCAGCUCGCUGGGACGGUACUGACGCUGAGGAGCGAAAGCGUGGGGAGCGAACAGG
rnacentral:rRNA from 1 species